rnacentral:rRNA from 1 species
GAUGAACGCUGGCGGCGUGCCUAAUACAUGCAAGUCGAGCGAACAGAUGAGGAGCUUGCUCCUCUGACGUUAGCGGCGGACGGGUGAGUAACACGUGGAUAACCUACCUAUAAGACUGGGAUAACUUCGGGAAACCGGAGCUAAUACCGGAUAAUAUAUUGAACCGCAUGGUUCAAUAGUGAAAGACGGUUUUGCUGUCACUUAUAGAUGGAUCCGCGCCGCAUUAGCUAGUUGGUAAGGUAACGGCUUACCAAGGCAACGAUGCGUAGCCGACCUGAGAGGGUGAUCGGCCACACGGGAACUGAGACACGGUCCAGACUACUACGGGAGGCAGCAGUAGGGAAUCUUCCGCAAUGGGCGAAAGCCUGACGCAGCAACGCCGCGUGAGUGAUGAAGGUCUCCGGAUCGUAAAACUCUGUUAUUAGGGAAGAACAAAUGUGUAAGUAACUAUGCACGUCUUGACGGUACCUAAUCAGAAAGCCACGGCUAACUACGUG